CAGUCGUACCGGCGGAUAAUCAGCCUUUCGGGUGCGAUUCUGUGGGGCGUGAGGAGUUAAACGCCUUCAUGCCUGCAUAUUCGUGCACUUUGGGUGUACUUGCCCGUGUGUAAGUUAACAUCAAUUUUGGUGGUCAUAAAAUGGCUGGAGGAAUGUAGCUUCGAUCUCGUAUUGAAGUGUUAUAGCCUUCGGUAGAUGUGAUGAUCGGGAUUGAGGAUUGCAACGGAUACCCUUCGGGGCUACUUGUCUGAUCUCUGAUUGUUGCUCUGGUGCUGAAAGCUUGCUUAUGGCUAUCAGAAUCGAUGGUCAA
rnacentral:rRNA from 1 species